GCUGGCAGCCCCUUUGCUCCAGCUGGAGGGAUGGAUAUCUGCCUGCCCUGCUCACUGCCUGUUGCUGCUGUUGUUGGCACAGCUCUGCCUGGGUGAGGCUCUUCUGCCAUCAGCAAAAGCAUUUUUGACAUGUGAUUUUGAGGUGUAGUGGAGGGGCUGGAAAAGGGUUACCUGCAAAUUGCUUCCUCUUUUGUACAGAGUUCAGCAUUUUGUUGGAAACCCAAAAAAAGCACACUGCUGAGAUCAUUUGUGUUUGGGCUACACCUCGUUCUGUGGAGCUGCCACUGAGCCACAGGAUUUCUACCCCAAGGUCACAAAGUGUUGGCUUCAAAAUGCUGGAUGAACAGCAACAUCCUUGAGGAGGGAAGAGAACGUGGUGUGAAGGAUGAGAAAGGUUUUAGUGAGCAGCAAGAGAAAAGGAACUUGGGGAGCAAUCCAAGGCUUGAUUGCAAGUUGGCACUCAGACACUGACAUGUCUGAUCAUCAACCAGCAGAGAUCAAUUACUCAGGAAGCUUCAACACCUACCAGGAGUGCAAAUUAAUAUCAGCCUGAUGACUAAGGAAACAAGGGUAGGGAUAGAGACCGGAGUGGAUGGAUCCAGGACUGUUCCUUGCCUCUGCAGAAAGGUGUUAUCCCAAAAUUACUGCUGGGAGAGAUCAAGCUGUGGCCGCUGAAGGUGAGCUGGGGUCUUUGCUAGUAUGUUCAUAAAGAUGUAAGGCCUGGGUGUUUACUGAAAAAGAAGUCCUUGCAAAUAAAAUAAGCAAAUGUUUGCCCAGAAAGGGAAAACAAUGGUUCAGAAAUAUGUUGAGUGAUGGUGAAAAUCCUCAAAAAUCAAAUAUGGUGAGGAAACAUGACAGUGAAACCCUGCUGAAGUGAGCCAGCUCGUGGGUAGUGAAGGCAACAGAGGACAGACUGCUGAGCAUUUCCCAUCAGACACUUCCUAGGGACCUCCAUGCCACAGCUGCUUGAAGAAAUGAUGAACGGCUGAUCUAAGGUAAAACCUCUACCAGCUCAAUGUGACUCAUCAGGAAUGAAGAGGUUUAAAGGAAUAGAGCUCAGAGCAUCACAACCUUUGCUACCACUGCCCCACAGGGUGCUUACCACAGGGCUGGCAACAGAAAAGGCUUUGCAUGUCCUCACAGCUGCAUGUGAUGCCAAAGCCACACAGCACAGGUGACAAACUCACCAGUCUGGGGCACUGGAGUGGCAGUUCACCCUCCUCCCAGUGGCUGCAGGCUCAGGAUUGGCUCUACCAGGUGACCCUUUGAAAUUAGAGCCCCAAAAUCAGGUCAACUUUGUGAAUUAGAGGUGGUUGCACCUCCAAGAGUGGUUUUUUUCCCCCCAGACUCCUACCAAAAAGCAGCAGCUCCCUGCAGGGUCUAUUGUUUGCGUGAGGGAGAAAUCAGAUAAAAACUUGGUGAAUUUGGGUAUAAAGGCUUUCUUCUGCUUCCUCAGCAAACAAUCUUACUGCAAGUAGCUUCAAACCCCCAGCCUUGUUCUGUCCUAGGUGAUGCUUAAACUGUCAAUAAUCCUGAGGCUGCUGUCACAGUGCUGCUCAAUGGGGUUGACAGAUUAUAUCUCUAAAGUCCCUUUAUUGGACCUUGUUCCCAGAAAAGCUUGCAAAUUGCUCUGAUCUUACCAGACAAAGGCGUUGCUCACUCUCGGAGUCCUUGGAUAUCCUACACAAUAAGGUAGGAAUUGGUGAGAAUUACCCGAGAUAAAAUAUCCCUUACAACAUCAAAGUUCCUGAUCUCUUAGCUGUCAGCUGCAGGUAUGUGAAAGUCCCGACAGGCUGAAGAUAGAAGGAAGAGAUAAAGCAAAAAGAGAAGGGAGGGGGAAUGGAGAAAUUCUCUGGAUGAAAGGUUAUAUCGUUGGAUUUGGCACAAAGAUGUCAGUGCAGCGGGUCUGCACGGCCAGCUGGGGUGUGAGCAGGGCACUGGGCUUUCACUUCUGAAACAAAUCAGCAGCAGCUGAUAUCAGGUGACCAAGGACAGAUCCUGAUCCUUGUCACAUCAGGGGUAAGGAGUAGAACUUCGAUGAUCUUUGUGAGUCCCUUCUAACUCAGCAUAUUGCAUGAUUCUGUGAUAAAGGAAGCAGGAGGAACAGCGACCGGGGCACGGCUAAAUCAUGAUCGUACAACCCCCACGUUUUCCCUGUCUCCAAACACUCAGCUCCUGGUUGGUUUUGCCCAGUUAAAUGGCUGAAGUGGGUCAGUCCCGAGGGGGAUUCACUGGUGUAACACAAGACACCAUCCUUUUGCCAUCGUUGCUCUGCACAUUUAAUAAUUGACCUCCCUGGGCUGUUCACAGGAGCUGGGGCAGGAGAGCUGGCAUCAGACUUCUUCUACCCAAUGCCACAGUGGAUCACUAAACUUGUUGCAAAAGUCCAGCUCACUGGCAGCAAAGCCACAGAUCACCUGAACUGUCUCUAGCACUCACCUAUGUUGUGACUCAUCCUCACUCUCCAGCACAGCUCCUCUCCUGGCUGGUGUGAAUGUGCCUCUCCAGGGGAAAGCCUGGCUUGAACUUGACCUGCUCACAGGAUUCCAGAAGGCAAAGGAAUUCCAGGAGAGGAGGAAAUAAACAUUUCCUAAGUCAGA